CACCAAGGCUAAAUAGGGCCCUGGGAUGAGGCACCUGUGACAGGGAGGGGUGCAAAACCAAGGAGUUGGCUAGACUCCCAAAUAUAUAUAAAACAAGAGGGGGUUGGCUGCACUCACCUUAACUAGCCAACUCCUUGGUUUUGCACCCCUCCCUGUCACAGGUGCCUCAUCCCAGGGCCCUAUUUAGCCUUGUACU